CCUACGGGAGGCAGCAGUGGGGAAUAUUGCACAAUGGGCGCAAGCCUGAUCCAGCAAUGCCGCGUGAGUGAAGAAGGCCUUCGGGUUGUAAAGCUCUUUUGUCAGGGAAGAAACGGUCUGGGCUAAUACCCUGGGCUAAUGACGGUACCUGAAGAAUAAGCACCGGCUAACUGCGUGCCAGCAGCCGCGGUAAUACGUAGGGUGCAAGCGCUAAUCGGAAUUACUGGGCGUAAAGCGUGCGCAGGCGGUUAUGUAAGACAGAUGUGAAAUGCCCGGGCUUAACCUGGGAACUGCAUUUGUGACUGCAUGGCUAGAGUGUGUCAGAGGGGGGUAGAAUUCUUCGUGUAGCAGUGAAAUGCGUAGAUAUGUGGAGGAAUACCGAUGGCGAAGGCAGCCCCCUGGGAUAACACUGACGCUCAUGCACGAAAGCGUGGGGAGCAAACAGGAUUAGAUACCCUGGUAGUCCACGCCCUAAACGAUGUCUACUAGUUGUUGGGGAUUAAUCUCCUUGCUCCCGCAGCUCCCCCGUGAAGUAGACCCCCCGCCGAGUACGGUCGCAAGACCAAACUCAAAGGAAUUGACGG
rnacentral:rRNA from 1 species